rnacentral:tRNA from 1 species
GCCCUGUUAGCUCAGCCUGGUAGAGCAAUCGCCUCUUAAGCGAACGGCCGUAGGUUCAAAUCCUACACAGGGCACCA